AUCUAGCUGACGAGUCCCAAAUAGGACAAAACGCACGUCCUAAAU
rnacentral:hammerhead_ribozyme from 1 species